AUGGCACCCACCACCCAGGUAUCCAUUCUGGUAUCAGAAAACUCUACUCUCCCCAACCAAGGAUCGCACACCCGUCCUUUUUCUUCGGUUUCCGUCCGCUCCCUGCUUUUGCCUGCCAGUGAUAAUGCCAUCAUGUUGCCAGGCAGCACCUCUCUCCUGAGUUUUAUCUGAGAUGCGGCUGUUUCCUGACCCCUCACUUGGGAGGAACUGCGGCUUUGGCCCGCUCAGAUCCUCUGGGGGAGGGUCUCACUGAGCAAUGGCUCGGUGACGGCCGCACCCAGAAACUUUCACCGGACCUUGCUGCUGCCGAUGUCCAGAGACUUGCGGCUGGGUGCCAGCCUGCCCCAGAAAAAGUUCAAGCGACUGUGCAGCAGGAGUGAUGCCGGGAUUACGGAAAAUCACCAAAGGCCCAACGACCUCCAGACCCACUCUUCUCCUGGGAAUUCGCCCUUCCCACCAGAGCACCACAGAGCACAGUUCUCUGGCAGAUGGCCCAGGAAAGAUUUACGGUUCCCGGCCCUAUUUUAAAGCAAGAAAUUCCUGGCAUCUCAACGUCAGUGAGACAUAGUUCGUAGUUCCCUAUUAAACCUGGGGUUCGGUCAACCAGCUACACCAACAAAGGAAACCACCGCUCGCUGUGCAAACUGGCACACCAAAUCUAGGAUCUCAGAUAACUGUAUCCUGUAUUAUAAAUAAAUUCAGGGGGCACCUAA